UUGGCUCACAUAUUCUUUAUUCCUCGCUUAUAUUGCUAUUACUUGUGAACAUAUAUGAUAGGGAAAGCAUGUCAUAUAUGAUAUGGUAUGAUAAAAGAAACCUUGCUUCUUCCAGCAAAGUACUUGGGAAUUUUAUCUUGCAAAAAAAUAAAAAUAGCUAGGCUCCUCAAUGAUUUGAUAAAUUCCUACCAAAGCCAUAUGUUGAUCUCAUUGAAAACCUUAUACAUAUGCUACUUGUUUUUACAUUGAGCUUUGUCAAACUGUUGUGACCUGGGUGAGAAACUUUUCAUACUUUCAUGAUCAAGAUCACGUACACUCCACCUUCAUAUGCUGACUUCUACACUAGAAGUUGCACAAAACAUGCCAUCCA
rnacentral:lncRNA from 1 species